UCUCUAGUGUGAGGGCGGGCCCUUGGGGUUACAUCCAGUGGGGGAGUGAGAGGCGGGGCUUGGUCUCAGGCCUGAAACUUGGCCUUCCCGACUGCAGGGGGUGCUGCCCCGCCCGCAGGAUCCCAUCUCCUGAGAUCCUGUUCAGACCUUGAAUCUGGAGCUUGCCAUAAUCCUCAGAGCCAAGGUGAGGAAGGGGGUGCAGAUCCUGAGUACCCAGACCAGCGAGCGCUGGCACAGGCAACAGGAGGUAGGCAGUGCCACCACCACUGUGUCCUGCCAGUGCCUGGCACAGGUAGCAUUCAACAGGUUCUCCAUGGAUUAAAUCAUCAACAGUGACAGGAUUUCUUCUGUCUCCAUUGUGGUGUAUAAUCUAUAGACUAUAAUACUGUAUAUACUCAAUAGUAGACCACCUCAGCUAUCUACUCUCAGGAUGAAGUUGGAAGAUGUCUGACAGUGGCCUGAACACACUUAUUUGUCUUAGAGACAACCUCAAGUAUUAGACUGUUGAACAGAUCCAACUGGCUGUAAAUAAUAAUGGAUAAUCUGAUCUCUAAUCUUAUAGUCUAGAUGUGUUUUACAAAAUUAAGAGUUUUUAAUUCAAACCUAUAAAAUAUGGUGCUUUACUUUAAGACUGCUUGCCCUCAGUACUUCCUGAGAGUAAUAAAUCAUUCUUUGAGUUAUGUCACUGAUUUCUAAUUAUAUUUAAAAUUACAAUUUAUGAACAUACAAUGCAAGAUAAACAACCAAAAUAAUUGUAAGAACAUGAAUGACUAUAUAAUGGAAAGUCAUCUGGAAAUAAGCACUGCUAUUUGGUCUUAUUUAUUUCACAUUCCUCCUCAGCACUCAAUGAAUAAUUAACUGGAAAUGCUGAGGAAGAAGUCAUACAGACAGUUUUGGUUUUGACAUUGAUUUCCAUACUUAAGAAAAAGCAUGUAAAUGUUAAAGGAAAUUUCACAUGCCUGUGGGUUGGCAUGGGGAGGAUGGAACACUUUUGAGAGAUUAAAAAAAGUAGCCAUGCAUAUUUUCAUGAAUAAUUUAUUUAUCAAAUUUUUCCAAGCUGUGUUUUAAAUAUAUCAUUUUAUUGGCUCAAAUUCAUAUCAGAAAUACUUGUUCAUUUUUAGCCAGAAACUCCAUAGGUGUUACAGAACAAAAAAGUACACACACUAUGACUUACCCUUUUGUCUUAGCGUUUCAAUCUCCCAGGAAUGAAAGUUGCUUUAGGUUUCACAUUGAUCAAAAUAAUUCUGAAGAUUUCAAAUACCCUCCAACUUCACAACUCAGACUUAAUCUGCUUCUCUGUGGAGCAUUGUCUCUGCUAUGAAUCCCCACUGGCUUCAUUCUAGUAGUCUCUAAGCCAAAUUCCAAAUUGAGUGAGGUUUGUGGGUGAUAUUACAGAAUCGACUCUUCUUACAACUCACUCACUCUUCUGUGAUAAGAAUAACUAUAGUGAGAUUCCAAGAUGGUGAAUUUGGGACCAACACACUGUGAUAGGCUACAGAUGAACAGGAAGAAAAAGGAUAGGGAGUACACUCUCAGGAUAGAAUAGGAGAGAAAACUGCACUGGAAAUCCUACAACAGGAAAAGGAAUGGCAUGGACCUGUGUGGAAGGUGCAGACAUGCAGUAAGAACACCAGCACAAGCACAACUGAAGCAGCCAAGAGCUGGAGCAGGAGGCAGGUUGGAGACAGAGGCGAGGCUGGGCUGAAGCAACCCAUGGUGAUACAGCCAGAGGGAGUCACAGUGUGACUCUGGACUGGAGCUCUGGAGGCCAGCAGUUGCUACAGGUUGUCCAUGAACCCAGUGGAAGGACAAGGGGCAUAUUUAAUUCACCUCAACUUCCCCGUGAAAGCUCCUGCUGCUUGGAUGAGAAGGAUUGAGCAUCAUUUUGGAUUAGAGCAGGAGCUGCAGAAGAAUUUGUGCACAUGCACAGCAACUGGCUGAGCAGGACUCCCUAUUUUUUGCAGUGCUGGCAGUAAUAGUAAGGAGAUAGCAACAUUUGGCCAGUGACUUUCAUGUAUGCAUGUGAUCCAGUGACUCUAGCAAAGAGAAUACUAGGCAGUCCCCACUGACUUUGAGCCUGACAGGGAGGUAGGUGGUCAACCUCAGAGGACAAUGAAGCACCCACAGACUCCCAGGAGCAAGACACCUAGGCAGAACUAUCUCGGGGAACAUUUGCCACUCUAUUGACUGGACAGCCUGGUAGGGCAGAGAAACCUGUGCACUCAGAGUCUGUUGGGGCCUUUUGUACUGAGACUGUAGAGACUUGGUGGAUACAUGAAAAGGUACAGGGUAUAGUGGGGCCUGUGGGCAAUCACUGGUUGCAGCUCCACAUGCUUGGAUUUCCUUGGUUACUAAUAACAGGUCUUUGCAGCAGAAACUGUGCUCACAGUGAAGACUGUGCAGAACACUUGUGGGGUUUAUAAUGGUUCAGAACACACCCAGGCAUUGAGAGCUACUAUAAUCACCUGUGUGUUACUCUGGAAAAUUACCCCACACCUAAGCGCUGACCAGAGCUCCGUGGCCAUACCAACCAUAUACCUCUGGGUAUUUACUAAAAGUGCAGGCAUUACAUUAAGUCAUAGAUUCAUAGCUCAAAGAAAAAAAAAACUUUACCAUGAAAAGAAAAAAAACUCCACAAAUGUAUUCAUUGUAUUUAACUAAAUACAAAUGAAGAAAUUCAAGAAACAAUAAUAAAGAAGACCCUGUUACCCUCCCCUAGAGGAACACAACUAUGUUUCAAUAUUUAAAUGUUUGGAUGAAGAGAUUGAGGAAAUUCUGGAAAUAGAAUUAAAAAGUAAACAUAGGUCAUUCUUAAGCAACCAGAAGCAAAUCUGUUGCUCCCCCUCUUCGCGGAGGAACGACACAGGACCCUGCGCUGUUCUUUUGUCUGCUCGGCCCUUCCCGGGUUUGCUGCUGGUUCUUCCCAGGUUGGCUGCCGUCCCUCCACCUCCGUGGAGGGGCAGGCCCCCCUGCCACUUUCCCCACUUCCGCAGGGGAGCAGCACACCGCCGGCCGGCUCUCUCAGGGGCUGCUCAGAUGUUCCUCAGGUGUUCCUCUUAGAUGUUCCUGGUGCAUGUUGUCUCUCUCCUCCUUUAUAGUCCUCUUCCGCCAAUCCCAACUCUGCUACCCACACACCGAGUACACUGCUCCCCUCCAAUCAGGAGCAAGAUCAGCUCCUGCAGCUUGUCAAGUUGGUGAGAGGCAGCUGUGUGGAAGCUGUUUACUCCUCUCCCAGCGCCAUAUUGUGGGAGAGCAGAUGCAUAGAAUAAGUCUUAAUUCCAGUAACUUAGUCUAGUCCGAGUUGCUCCCCACACAAAUCCACAAACUUAAGAAAACCAUACAUGGUAUGAAUGAAAAUUUUCCUAUGAAACUGAUAUGUUAAAGAGAAAUCACAAUGAAAUAUUAGAAAUGAAAAAUUCAAUAGACCAAAUAAAAUAUGUGGUGGAAAGCCAUAACAGCAGACUUGGCAUGGAAGAAGGAAUAUUGUCCUAGAAAACAAAACUUUGGAAAUCAUUCAAUUAGAUCAAAGAAGAAGAAAAAGAAGAAAUUAGAAAACUUAAAAACAGUGUUGGAGAUUUAUGGGAUACUAUCAAAUAACACAACAUACAGGUAUUAGAGUUCUUGAAGGUACAGAAAGAGAGAAUGGAUUAGAAGCCCCAUUUAGUAAAAUAAUUAGAGUAAACUUCACUAAUUUGGAGAAAGAAAGGAACACUCAUGUAGAGGAAGUAUAUAGAUCUCAUAACAGAUAUUACCAGAAAAGAUAUUCACCAUAAAGACCAUAAAAUGUGCAUGAGAAAAAUCCAGAUUACUUUCAGAGGAUCCAGUUAGACUCACAGCUAACUUCUCAUCAGAAACACAAGCUAGGAGAGAAUGGCAGCAUAUAUCCCAAAUCUUAAGAGAAAAAAAAAAAACUGUCAACCCAGAAUACUGUAGCCUGCUAUGUAGUCAUUUAUGAGUGAAGGUGAAAGAAACACCUUUCAUAACAAACAUAAAUUGAAAGAAUUUGUCACUUCUCAUCCAGCUUUACAUAAGCUGCUUAGGGAUGUGUUAUGCACAGAAACACAGAAAGAUAGCCAUCAAUAUGAAAGAAUGUAAAGUUUGAUAAUCCUCCAGUUAACAUACAAAAGAAAUCCAAAGUAAGCACUAGGAAUAUUUACUGGAAAAUGGCAGAGCCAAGUUGUUAAAUAUCAAUAGUCACAUUGAAUGUGAAUGGCCUCAACUAUCCAGUUAAAAAAUACAGGCUGGCUGAAUGGAUUAAAACAUAUGACCAUCUAUUUGCUACCUAUAAGAAAAACAUCUCACUACCAAACAGACAUACCAACUGAAAGUAAAAUGCUGGAAAAAAUUUUCCAUGCCAAUGGAAAGUAAAAAUGUCAGGUGUUUUCAUCCUAAUAUCAGACAAAAUAGAUUUUAACACAAAAAAUUGUAACAGAUGAAGAAGGGCUUUAUAUAAUGAUUAAGGAAUCAAUUCAACAGGAAGAUGUGACUAAAAUAAAUGUAUCCACAACUAAUUAUAAGGUGCUUAGCUAUUCAAAAGAAAUGUUAAUGGAUAUAAAAGGAUACAUAGACUACAAUACAAUAGUAAGGGGGAUAUCAGUAUCCAACAUUUAUCAAUAGAUCAAAUAGACAAAAAAAUCAGUACAGAAACAUAGGUAAUAGAGUUUAUGGACCAAAAGGACCUAACAGAUAUGUACAGAACAUUUCACCCUACAGUUGAAGAAUGCACAUCUUUCUCAUCAGUGCAUGGAACUUUCUCUAGGCUAGACCAUAUGCUAAGUCCAUAAAGUAAGUCUCAAGAAAUUAAAAAAAUGUUGAAACACAACAUACAUCUUCUCUAGCCACAAUGCAAUGAAGCUGGAAAUCAACAACUUGGGAAUCUCUAGAUCAUAUGCAAACACAUGGGACUGAAAACAUGUUCCUGAAAGAACAGUGGUUCAUAGACUAAAUCAAAAGUGAAAUCAAAAAUUUUCUGGGAACAAAUGAAGGUGACAAUACAUCAUAUCAACAUUUAUGGGAUUCAAUAAAAGCAGUGUUAAGAGCAAAGUAUAGCAAUUGUUGCCUACAUGAAUAAAUUGGAAAGGAACCAAAUAGAUGAGCUAUUAAUGUAUAUCAAGGACCUAAAAAAAUAACAAACCAAACCUCAAAUUAGUAGGAAGAAAUAUAUAAUUAAAAUUAGAGAAGAAAUAAAACUCAAAGCAAAAAACACAAAAGAUCAGUGAAAUGAAGAGCUUAUUUUUUGCAAAUAAGCAAACUGAUACAUCAUUGGGCCAACUAACAAAAAAAGGGGGAAGAAGACACAAUUCAAUAAAUUUAGAGAUGAAAAUAGAAAUAUAACAGACACCACGGAAAUAAAAAGAAUCACGAGGAAUUACUAGAACAAACUGUGAGCCAAAAAAUUGGAAAACUAGAAAAAAUGGAGAGAUUCCUAGACACAUAUAAUCUACCAAAAUUUAGUCAUGAAGGCAUAGAAUAUCUAAACAGAUUGACAACCAACAGAGAAUGAAUCAGUAAGACCUUUCCAACAAAGAAAAGCCCAGGACCUAAUGGCAUCUCUUCUGAAUUCUACCAGACAUUUAAAGAACUAACAGUAUUAUUCUCAAGCUACUCAGAAAAAUUGAAAGGGAGGAAAUCCUCCCAAACUCCUUAAAUGAAAUGUUAAUAAUUUACUUUCUAAGUCAGAAAAAUGAUACAAUAAAGAGAACUAUAAACAAAUAUCCCUGAUGAACAUAGGUGUAAAACUCCUCAACAAAAUAUUAGCUACUCGAAUCCAGCAAAACGUCAGGCAUAUAAUUCACCUGGAUCAAGUGGGAUUUAUUUUUAUUAUUUAGGAAUGGUUCAACAUUCACAAAUCAAUAAUUGUGAUACAUUACAUGAACAAACUGAAGAACAAAACCAAUAUGAUUAUCUCAACAGAUGCAGAAAAGCAUUUAAUAAAAUACAACAUCCUUUCCUGAGGAAAACCUUAAACAAAUUGGGUAUAGGAGGAAUGUUCCUCAACAUUAUCAAGGCAAUUUAUGACAAACCAAUGGUCAGCAUCCUACUGAAUGGUGAAAAGCUGAAUGCAUUCCCUCUAAGAUUCAGAUCCAGACAAGGACGCCUACUCUCAUCAUUGCUAGUUAAUAUAGUCCUGGAAGGUUUAGCCAGAGCCAUUAGGCAAGAAAAAGCAAUCAAAAGGAUAUAAAUUGGAAAAGAAGGAAUCAAACUAUCCCUAUUUGCAGAUGACAUAAUCCUAUAUAUAGGGAAUUUGAAAGACUCUACUAAGAGACUAUUUGAACUCAUAAAAGAGUUCGGUAAAGUGUCAGAAUAUAAAAUCAGCAAAGAAAAAUCAAUAGCUUUUGUAUACACAGACAAUGCCACAGCUGAGAAAGAACUUUCAAGAUCAGUCCCAUUAACAUUAGCUCCAAAAAUAAUUAAAUAUCUUGGGAUAAAUUUAAGGAAGAAGUCCAACCAAGUUCUCUGAUGAAAAUUACAAAAGCACUAAAGAAAGAAAUUUAAAAAAAACAACAUUUAAAAAUGAAAAAAAAACCUUACAUGUUCAUGACUUGGGAGAAGCAACAUCAUCAAAUGUUCAUACUUCUGAAAGCAAAUUACAGAUUCAAUACAUUUCCUGAGACUAUUGUGGUUACUAGGCAACAGAAUCUGUCCUUUCCAGUUUGUGCCACACAAAAUGAACCAUAGGAGAGUCACUAUAGCAUGCCAGAUCUUAAAACCAAAAUCCUGAGGCAAAGCAAUCACCAAUAACCAUAAAAUCAUCCCCUAAGAAAAUUGGAUUUCCAUGUGCAGAAUCAUGAAGCAAAACCCCUACCUUUCACCUUACACAAAAAUUCACUCAACAUGGAUUAAAGGCUUAAAUCUAUGACCCUACACCAUCAAAUUAUUAGAGAGCAUUGGAGAAACUCUGCAAGAUAUAGGUACUGGCAAAGUCUUCUUGGAAAAUACCCCAGAAGCACAGACAGUCAAAGCCAAAAUUAACAUUUGGGAUUGCAUCAAAUUGGGAAGUUUCUGUACUGCAAAAGAAACAGUCAGGAAAGUGAAGAGGCAACCGACAGAAUGGGAAAAAUAUUCACAAACUAUGCAACAGAUAAAGGGUUGAUAACCAGAAUCUACAAAGAAAUCAAGAAACUCCGCCGGCGCCGUGGCUCAAUAGGCUAAUCCUCCACCUUGCGGCGCCGGCACACCGGGUUCUAGUCCCGGUUGGGGCGCCGGAUUCUGUCCCGGUUGCCCCUCUUCCAGGCCAGCUCUCUGCUAUGGCCAGGGAGUGCAGUGGAGGAUGGCCCAGGUGCUUGGGCCCUGCACCCCAUGGGAGACCAGGAAAAGCACCUGGCUCCUGGCUCCUGCCAGGAUCAGCGCGGUGCGCCGGCUGCAGCGGCGGCCAUUGGAGGGUGAACCAGCGGCAAAGGAAGACCUUUCUCUCUCUGUCUCUCUCUCUCACUGUCCACUCUGCCUGUCAAAAAAAAAAAAAAAAAAAAAAAAAAAAAAAAAAAAAAAAAAAAAAAAAAAAAAAGAAAGAAAGAAA